rnacentral:rRNA from 1 species
UCCGUAGGUGAACCUGCGGAGGAUCAUU